UCUCUUUCUCUCUCUCUCUCUCUCUCUCUCUCUCUCUCUCUCUCUCUCUCUCUCUCUCUCCCUCUCUCCCUCCUUCGUCACUCCAAAGAAAUAACUCUCUUCGGAGCCAACGUAAGAAAGAAUCUUAAAAAUCGGAAAAUUGGUGAUCGUUUUUUAUUCUCAAAGAUACGGACAAAAAGUUGUUGUAGGUGUUCUCGGACUCAGCAGUGAGAGCCGUGUUCCCCCAGCUGUAACGUGCUUUGUUUUAGUGGCUCUGGGAUCAUGGAAGACACUGCGCGAGUACCGAACGUUCUGCGAUAUAUUGUACAAAUAUUUUAUCCUUCUAAGAUCAUGGACUCUUGCUAGUUUCCUCGAUGAUUAACAAAAGAUCCAAAAAGAAAAAGAAAGAAAGGAAGAUUUUUGAGGAUCGUCAUAAAUACUUCGUCGUUGAUGAUACGUGCCUCACGAAGUAGGACGUUUCAUCGAUUAGAUUUCUCCUAAUCGUUCUUUAUGUCAUGCAAUCGAAAUUUCAUAUGUGUGAUAUGAGAAACUGAAAAUGUAAAUAUAUCCAUACUCAUCGUGAGCAAACGUAUACGUGAUUAAAUCAAAGUCCAAAACGUUUGGAAAUUUUUGGUGUCGUUGGCAAUAUUGCACCUGCCACACGAAAUAUUGCCGAUGGCUCGAAACAACGGCACGGCAACAGCAUCGAGCAAGAACGGACCGCUUUUGCUGGUAUUAUAAUCGCCGUUGCAAGAUUCCCGACUAAACCGCCGUUCACCUCGACCAUUUUAUACUUUCUAAAGCCGCUUACUUUCGUAACUUGGCAAAUACCGUGGUGGCCUCGUUGUAUCUACCAUUGCCGAGUUCUACACAGUUAGCAUUUAUAUGUGUGUCCAAGUUGAAGUUUUCUUUCCCUUACUCUAUACUAGCAUACAGUAAUGCAUAAUUAAUAUGCGUAAUACAUACGUAUACGAAGAAUUUGUUUUUCUUUUUUUCAUUUGUCGUUUCUUUUUUCUAUCUGUUUAAACAUUUUUUUCUACUUUUCUCUUCUUUUUUGUUUUUUUUUCUUUCUUUCUUUUUUUUUUUUUUUUUUUUUUUUAAGGAAAAUCUAAAGUUGCAUCGUUAUUAACUUUUUUCCUCGAACGAUAGAUCAUCUGCGCUUAUUCAUAUCUCUUGCGCAAUGACUAUUGCGCUGUUGUAAUAUCACUUAACAAAGUACAUACGUUUCAAGAAUUCAUUUCAUCGAGAUAAUUGCAAUUAAAAUGAUGAUUGUCAGAGAGAAGAGAAGGAGGAGGAGAAAAAAAAAGAAGAAGAAGAAGAUAUAUGUAUCUACGUAAUUUUGUACAAUUCCAAGAAUAAUUGCAGUAGUUUAUAAUCGAUGACAUAGCAAACGUUUCUAAGAUAAUAACGAUCAUAUAAAAGUUACUUUAUAUAAAAGUAUUAAAUGAUAAAAGAAUUGAUAACGAUUAAAGUGGCGGGUAACUUUAUCUUAAUAGAAAAGAGAGAGAGAGAGAGAGAGAGAGAUGAGAGGCUAACAGGACUAUGGAGGUAAGUUUGGAAAGUUACGGUUCGUCGUGAAUAAAAAAAAAUCAAACGAGGCGGAGAGAAAGAUAGAAGUGUGUUAUGUAUCUACGUGCAUAUACAUGAGAAAUAGAGAGAGAGAAUGUGUAUACAAGUAGAAAAGGGAAGUGGGACUAGCUUGCCUUGUACUACUUUCUUGCGCAGUUACAGGAACAGCGAUAGGCAUCGACUCUUAGCGCAAGAACUUACUUAGAUAUAAAUUCUAAGAUGAAUUAGAUUAAUCUAUGACGUAUAUUUUUAUAUUAUCAAAACUAUGAGAGAUAAUUGAAAAUAUUAAAAACAAUAAUAAAAAAGAAAAGAAAAAAAGAAAUAUGUAAAUAUAUAAGUCAACGUUGAAUGAUAGAUACGAGUUAAAAUUACUCUUAAAAUGCAUCAUUUUUUUUUCCAUACGUUUAGAAAAAAAAAUCGUUAAAGAACCAUAAAAUGCAUUGAUCGAUUAGAUUAUUGAUAUAUAUAUAUAUAUAUAAUAUAUACAUAAUUAUUUGAAUCCUAUUAAUUCCGAUCAUAUUUAAUAUCUUAACAAGCUUAAUUGUACUUCGUUUAAUAAUCCAAUAAUCCUUGUAUUAACGUUUGCGGUUAUAAUUAACUAUAAAGGUAUUCUUAUACUUAAAACUAAAAAUGUGAUAUGUAAACUUUUCUUACGUACAUAUAUAUAUAUAUAUAUAUAUAUAUAUAUAUACAUGCACACACACGAUAUGUAAGUAGAAUCACAUUCGUGAUCUUUGCUGAACGAACGAGGGAACGAGCGCGUGCGGGUGGCCUAGCGCCAUUUUAUAGAAGGCCUCAGUUUGCGGCCAUCUUUCGCGUAACAACUCCAAAUGUUUCCGCCUUCGUUCGUUUCAGCUUGCGUCUCUACGCUCUCCACCACGUACAUAUGUAGUAGAUUUCGUUUUAUCCGGCAUGUCUAAUUUUACACGGUGACCUCGAAACCGUACUUCGUCCGAAACCCACGUUCCUCUCCUCGUACUUGAAAUCGAAAAGAAAAAAAAAAAGAAAAAGAAAGAAAAAAGAACAUGAAACGAAAUGAAUGAAGAAUCUCUUCGGAAGAAGGAGAGAGAGAGAAAGAGAGAGAAAAUAUAUAAGUAUAUCUAAAGUUUGAAAAUUGUAUAUAAGAUUGUUGAAAUAAAUCAAUUUUUACUCGUGCUCCAUGGCGACUUAAAAUUUUUCUCUUCCUUGUCAAGAUUUACACAAACGACCUUUCUUCAUUCACAUUUUACCAAGUUAAACGUUUAUUUAUCUUCAGCUUCAUCCGGUCGCACGUUACAAGGUCAUCUAUAUACUUCCGCCUGUUUGAUAUAAUAAUCGAGUAUAAAAGUGAAACAUAUUUUGUAAGAACAUCUAAAUAGAUUUUGGAUGGAAUAAAAUUCCAAUUUUACGACUAAUAUAUUAUUAAUAUCAAAACUCGGCGAUUUGUUCGUUUUCUUUGCAACAAAAUGACUACUCGAGGUCCCCUUUUUUCCUUUUUUUUUUUUUUUCUCUUUUUUUUCCAUGUACGAAAAUAUUCAAAGCACCCCCCUUACGAGAGUAUAUCUUCUUUCUUUCUUUCGUUCCUUUACAUUUAUCAAACGGGAGAUAAGUUCGUCGGUUCAAGGUUAAAGGUUUCACCUGCCUAAUGGGAGAAGAGUAAAAAGAGGAAGAGGGGGGGACGAUGGAGUUAUGAGUCGAAUUGGUUUUUUUGGGGUGAGAUUCUAGGCGUCGACGCCAAUGCCGUGGAUGACAUCAUUGCGAAACGGUCGUUUCGUUCGUGGGGCCGUGUUGGUGGAGGAGGAUGACGAUGAAGAGGAAGAAGAGGAGGAGGUGGAGGAGGAGAAGAACGGCGGGUGGAGGGGGGAGGAGUGGUAAAGUCUGCGGAUGAUUCGUGAGAGGUGAAGAGAGCCGGGAGGCCUUGCGAGAACUAUGCGAAAAGAGGAAGAGGAUGGGUGGAAGGAGGAAUGAGAUGCGCGCACGAUGACUAGAAAGAGAAGGAGUGAGAUAGACAGAGGAGGAGAAAGAAGAGGAGGAGGAGGUGGCGGCGAAGAAGAAGAAGGGGGUAAGGGAGGAAGCAUGUCUAUAUAUCAGUGUGUCUAUAUGGGUGCUGUUUGUUGCGCGAUUGCGCGUACCUAACCAACGAAGCAAGCUUCACGUGUGUGUGUAAGGAAAGGUGGUGGAAGCGAGAAAGACGAGAUUAUAGAUGGGAGAGAAGAGUAGGGGAGGCGGAAAGGGUUGGGGAGAGGGAAGAGAGCAUGAUAUAAGCAUGCCGUGGUCAAUCCGCGUAGUGGGGCGAAGCGGGCAACCAGGCCUUGAAGAAGGAAAAGAGAACAAAAGCGCACGCUCUGCGACUAUGCGCUGCGUAGCGCGCGUUUCUGUAAGAGUGUGUGUAAAAGAGAGAGAGAGAGAGAGAGAGAGAGAGAGAGAGAGAGGGAGAGAGAGAGACAGAUCUUCGCGAGAGCUCUGAGGAAGACCAAGAGAACUAUGGAUGCCUGAACGGAAUAUUCCGUUCGGAGGGUGGAACGUUUCUCUCGCUUAUGUAGUAGGAAUUAUAUCAUAGUGGUAGUGAACGUAGAAGAGGAAGAAGAAUGAGAAACAUCGCGACGUAAAGGCCAAGCAGGACGUUCAUCGUCGUCGUCGUCGUCGUCGUCGUGUCGCCGUCGUAGUUAUCGUAGUCGUCGUCAUCGUCGUUGUCAUGGUUAUCGCUGAACGUACGUAUGUACGUAUCUACAUACAAUGCGUAUGUACAACACGAGAACGUUCGUACUAUGCGUAGAACAGACCGCGUUGCGUAAUCGCGACGAUAUCAAUUAUUAAGCAUAGUCUUUGCUUCGAACUAAGUGAGACACCAGUGGCGACUUUCUGGCCACGUUUUGUAAUGCCUAAAUUCGAUUACUUAUUCCUUUCGAUUUCUUCUUAACUAGAGGCCAUUUUUUUCUUUCAUUUUUCUUCUUCUAUUUUCUUCUCUUUCUCUCUCUCUUUUUUUUUUUUUUAACUCUGCAAACGAUGGCUCGCUCGCUCGCUCGUUCAUUAGUUCGUCCUCACACGAUCUAUCCUCUGGGUAUUACUUUUUUCCUUUUUUCUUUUUUUCUUUUUGGCUUCUUUUUCCUCCCACUUGUUUUUCCUUUUUUCUUCUUUUAACUUUUUAUCAGUAGAUUCACGCUUUUCCGCACCGCAUCGCACGCUAUCGCGCUGCAUUAACCCGCAAAGCCGGACGACAACGGCUACUACAUCGGCACCGCAAGCUAUCGCGGUUUUAUUCUUUCUUUCCUCUCUUACGUACGAAUUUAGAAUCGUACACUUGCCGAGAUAAAUACUACGUAUGGAAAGAGGAAGUUUGGCGGAACGAUUUUUUGUAGAUGAAAAAAAAGAAAAAGAGAGAUAGAGAGGAUAGGACAAUAAUCUUGAGCGAUAAACGGCAAAAGAAUCAGAGUUUACGUGAACACUGGAGCAGGGCUUUAGAAAAAUCAUACAUACAUAUAUGCGUAUAGGUGGUUUGAACGUUCCCCGAAGAUCUUCAAUGUUAAUCUUUCAUUUUUGAUCGUUUCACCUUUUUCUAAAUUCCAAAAGGGAAAUAAUGUUUAGUUUAUUUCGAGGAGUAUUAAAGGCUUAUAAGAGUAUAAAUCUUGAAAAAGGCAAAAAAGGAGGAUGUAAAGCAAAAUAUGGUAUUCGUAAAGGCGAGGGCGGAACGUUAAAAGGGAAGGAAGCAGAAAAGAUGGAAGUGUAAGUGGUAGGGAUGGGUUUACGAUGCGGAUUCAUAAUCCGCUUCUUUACCGAAAAACCCACCCUAACUUUCACCCUCGCACCAUUCCGAGACGUGGCACUUCCAAAGAUGGCUGCCAUGGCAGGAGGUCAGCGGGUGUGCGCUUAGACCACGCCCUACGACGCGUCGCAGGCAAACCAAACGAAGCUUUCUAAAGGCGAUUAGUUCGCGGUGGAUCCGAGUGGAGGCCGUGCGAAGCGAAGCCGACGAUGUUGACGCGUCAAGGGCGCUUCAAGGACGAAGAGCGCUCCUCUUUUAGGAAGGACGCGCGCGCACACGCCCGCAAUCUUUCUCUGUCUCUCUCUUUCUCCCCUCCUCACUCUUUCUGUCUCCCUUCUUCCCGGAAAUCUUCUUCCCUUUCUAUCGUCCGCCAUUCUUCUAGGGUCCCUAGAGGCAACGCCGCACCCUACAGCCUUUCUUCUGUAUUCCAAAAAUAUCGACGUGACUUUCAAACGCCAAAAUUCAACUAAUUUUGUACUUUUCUCUUCUUCUUUUCUUUCUUUCUUUCUUUCUUUCUUUCGUUAUUUCUUUUCUUAUACUUUUAAGGAAUAUCCUUACAACGUUUCAUUCGACGAUCAAUUUGUAUCUACAUAGAAAUGUUGAGAAAACAAUUCUAUAUUUAUCUUCUAUUAAAUACAUAUAAAUAAUAGAUGUAACAGAAUCAAUGAGAUAAGUGAUUUAAUCGUUCAUUGCGCAUUUGGCAACUCUCCCUUAUUUCUUAUAAUACUUGACGCAAGGAUCAAAGGUUUAAUCUAAACAUUUUAGACACGAUAACAAUAUGAUAAUUAUUAUUGGGUCUUAAUAAUUUAUUGGAAUGCAUAUGAGAGACAUUGAAAUGUAUACAUAAAUUAUCUAACAAAGUAAGAAAGUUAUUCAAACAAUAUAUAAUUAUAUGUGUAUAUUGUAACGCACGCUUCUCUCUUUCUUUCUCGGUUUCUCUCUCUUGACCACCCUUUUGAUAAAACCAAAUGUAUAUGACGUAUAUGACGCAGAAACGAGCAUGUUUCCAACUAAUCUAUUAACUCGGUGACGCCUCUGAUCAUUAUUUCACACGCACGUUUCUCUUCAUACACCUCGCCUCGCCCCGAUGAAAUCAUCCUAUUCGGAUCUUGCAAACGAUUAAUCCUCGUGGCAUAAUUUUUCGAAGUCAAGGAAGAAGCUCUUAACGUGAUCAUAAAUAAUUACGAUGAAUAUCAUUUCUGUGUAUCACUGUAUGAAAUAUUUUACAAAUCAGUAUAAAAGCGAUAGUUUUCUUUGUUGUAGAAAACGAAGAAAGUUUCGUUCAGCAGUCAUAAAUAAUUACUCCAUAAUAUAUAUAUAUAUAUAUAUAUUUCCAAUUUAACGUUUUGAUCGUCAAAAUAAUUUUACAUAAAUCAAUAUCAACCUAUCAUUAAUUAAAAUGUUAUCAAUAGAUAGUUAUACAAAUGUCACUAUUGAAUAGAUUAACAUUUCCUUUGAUGGGAAACAAUGGAAAUGGAUGAUAUGGUGAAACGAUAUUAGGAUUACUCAAUUAUAUCGAUGACAUAUUUGAACUAUUAACGGCAGUUUGUGAAAAAUAAGUACUACGAAAUCCGAUCAAAGAGAGAGAGGGAGAGAGAGAGAGAGAAACGAAUGUUGCCACGAGCCGUGAGAAGCAUGGCGCUUUUAGAAGGGGCCGGGGUGAUGCUGCGAAGAAGGAAGAGGCAAAAGAUAGGUAGGUGGAGGUGGAGGAGGAGGAAGAAGAAGAAGAAGAGGAGAGGGUAGAAGAAGAGGAUAAAGAAGAAGAAAUAGAAGAAGGAGGAGAAAGAGGAGGAGGAGAAGCAGAGGAUGGUAUUUCCGCUGUUGCAUUGCCUAUCCAUUUGGCAGGUUUGGCUGAGGGCAUGCGCACAACAUGUGCCCACCUACCUACUUACCUAUCUGGCCGCUCGUUUCUCGACCGCUUACCUGCUCGCUUGCCUGCCUUCUUUCCUGCCUGCUUACUUGCCUGCCUGCCUGCCUGCCUGCCUGCCUGCCUGCCUGUCUGCUUGCUUGCUUGCUUACUUGCUUGCUUGCUUGCUUGCUUGGCCGCUUGCUUGACUGCUCGCCUGCCUACCGGUUUGCCUUGAUCCCUUGAAUAGCCACACACAUAUACAUACACAUAUACAGUAGGUGGGUUGGUAGGUAGGUAGGUAGGUACGUCUUUCUUACGUAAGCGCCCGUGAGAGAGCGAGUUAUUACCACAGGGACGUCAAUAUGAAAGAGAGAUAGAGAGAGAGAGAGAGAGAGAGAGGCGGAGAGAGGAAGAGAGGGAGAGAGAGAGACCAACGGAUCCGGUACAAGGGACGUUCGAAUUUGACCCGUAGAUCGACUCGUUUUUAACCCUUCGUCAUCAUCAUGAUCUCUUGUCUUUUUUCCCUCCCCCCUCGCCACCCUUUUCUAUUUUUCUUUUCUUUUCGUUUCAUUUUUUUUCCUUUCCUUAUUCUUCACAGAAAGGAUCUCCAAUUAUAUUUUUCAAAUUGUUUUUUUUUUCUUUUUCUUUUUCUUUUUUCUUGUAGGUAUUACGUCAGAGUUAUACUCUAUAGUUAUGUAAAUUUAUUGAAAAUAUGCAGAUAUGGUGAGUUCGUUCAAUUGAUCAGGAUACGUGCGGUUAACAAUACGACGACGGAGUACGGAUACAACGAGUAUUACUAUUUUGCUCGUGCGUUUUUCUUUUUAUCUUCUAUUUUUUUUUGUCCUUUUUUUUAUUUUCUUUUUUUUUCGGACUUUUUUUUUCUAUCUUGACUAAACUUAUUACGGAAGCGCAGCUGGCGGCGUCGGGCUGCAUUGUAAAUUUAUCACCGAAACAUGCCUCUGGGGAAUUUCGUUUGUAACAGGACACAAAUCGUUGCGAAGGUAAUACACUGAUGAAAAUGAGAUUCUACGGAUAAAAUAUUUUAAUCUAGUAAUUUUUAUUUAUACGAUUAAUUUCUUUUGGGAUUAGAACAUUUGGCUUUAAAGAGUUUAAUAAAAUUUUAAUUUUUGAUUUGCUAAAUUUGAAUCGUUGACUAGGGGAAUUCAUAAACUAAAUUCGUCUGGAUCAUAUCAUCGUAUUAGAUUUUAACUUUACGACGUAACACUUUAACCUACUCCUCAGCGAUACCGUUUUACGAUCACUGAAACAAUAAUCGAAGAUUCGUUCGUAGUAAUCGAUGUUAAAACAACAAAAAUUACUUUCGAAGAAAGUAGUCGUAUAAGUUAAAAACAGACAAUUUCCUAUAGAAAGAUCUCUAGAAAGAUCUCUAAGAAGUUUUACAUCAAACGCUAUUAUAUUAUAUCUAACGAUAUAAUAUAUGAGUAUAAGAUCUCUCGUAUGCUUUUACGAUUUCGUGUUAAAUAUUGUAGAUGUAUUACUCGCUUAACGACAGAAUUUGAAAAAAAAAAAAAAGAAAAGAAAAAAGGAAAAAAGGAAGAAUUCUUUUUUAUUAAAUUUUAAAAUGAGCAGAGAAUAUAUCUCGAAUUUGAUGACACGUUAGUUAUAUUUGAACGAUCGAUCCAAGAUGGGAAAAGGAAAUAAGAAAAUUCAACAAAGAAACGUUGAAACUUCGUAGUACUUUGGAAGAUAUCAUGCGAAUCUUCUUAUUCAACAUAAUUGUCUCUCUCUCUCUCUUUCUCUUUCUCUCGUAUAUAUAUGUAUAUGUAUGUAUAUAUACAUACACACGUAUGAAGAUGCAAACCGAAAGCAAAACUUACGAAGCAGUGCUUUCGUAGAUGCAGUGGCCCAGUUUGUAGAGAGCUACUACGAAGGCAGUCUCUGUUGGAGAGUGGGCGGGGAGGAUUCGUAUCUGUGUCACAGCACACGCGCUCUGUAAUCGGAACUUUUCAUCGCCGGCGUUCUCUGUGUUCUUGGCCCGUUUGCACUUUGCACGAACGGAGAUCGUUCAAAUGGAAGAUUCAGAGUCGUGCUUAGAUCAUCGCCAAUACACAUCAUUAUGAUAGAAGAUAGAAAAACGAGUUAAGAAAUCUUUUAUACAAAUCUCUGUCUAUCUAUCUCUCUUUCUCUCUCUCUCUUUUUUUUACUUGAAUUUUAUUUGAAAUAUUAUGUCGGAAAUGAUUAUUCCGAAUUUUGUAUUCUAUCAUUGAAAUAAUCAUACCGGCACGAUGAUUUCGAUCAACGAAAGGAUAUUACGAAACAACGAAGGAAUAGUUAGAAACAGCAGGAAACGUGAGAAGAGUGUCGAGUCCGAGGUAAAACGAACCGUAACUUCUUACGUGAAUGCAAAUUCGUUAAAUAAGCAUACUUCGUAAGGAGUCGGAGCGAAAACUCGUUUUCAAGCUUACUCUUCCCAAACGGAAUAACGUUGAACAUUUAACGCACUUAUAUACGUAUAUGUAUAUAUAUAUAUGUAUGUAUGUAUAUAUAUAGGUAGAUAGAAGUAUUAUUAUCGCGUGACAUCUUGGUUCAUUCGAAAAAUACAGCUGUCUCUCUGAUAUAAUACCUAUAAGAGAGAACGUUUAGAUUGGAAUAUAUACUCACAAUAUAUGAAUACUUUCACCUCGAUACGAGCUGGUUCUUAUUGAUCGUCACAAAGUGGUAGAACCUGCAUUCGUUAUGUCGAAAUCGAACUUCUUGUCCAAUGAGAGAGAGAGAGAGAGAGAGAGAGAGAGAGAGAGAGAGAGAGAGAAAGACCCGUUAGACGACAGAGUAUAAUAUAGAGAGAAAACCGAUAGAGAACGCAAGAGCCAUACGGUUUCUAUCACACCCUUACUCUCUAUGCAUCUUCUAUCUUGUAGAUUUAUUGGACAUUUUACAGAACACCGUGCAUGAACACCUAAUCGACUUAGAUUUUCUAUCCUAUUUAUCGUUAGAAUAACGUAAAUAUAUGAAAGGGAUAAGUAAUAAGUAAUACAUAUUAUUAUAGGUAUCUACUUGCAUAUAUAUAUAUAUAUAUAUAUAUUAGAUUCUAUCUGUAAGAGUUUCAAUAAUAAUCAACAACAUAAUAGACUUUAAUCUUUAUCUUUGUAUAAUUCUUCGUUAAGCGAGUCGAUAUUUACGACACACUUUUAACAUUUCAUCAACGUCGAUGUAGAAACUAGGAGUAUCAUCGAGAAGAGACCAAAGAUGACGACGAUUCGCAUGAAUUACCGAGAUGUCUACCUUUGUCGGCGAACAAUACGAUCGUGUCAACCUAACGUUAUGUUUCGAACAAAAGCUCUGCUUGCAAAGUGCUCUCUCUUUCUCUCUCUCUCUCUCUCUCACUCUCUCUCACUCUUUCAGUGUUAUGUGCGAAUAUGUAUGCGUCUAUGUCUAUGUGUGCCAUUUUACUUAUACCAUACGUGGCGCAGGCGCUAGAAAUACGCGAAUACUUUCAUAGUUAUGCGUCUGCAGCAACGUAAUCGGGAUGUUUCGUGCUGCACACAUGCGCACACAUAUAUACACACAUACACAUAUAUAUUUGCUGUCCUACAUUUAGUGACUAUAACCACCAAGCCACGGUAUUAUGAACUAGGCCGGAUGACUCCCUCGCGAUUCUAUGCACGCGAAAUUGCAAUUCCACGUCCAAGCAUUGUCUGCUUGGCCUCAACACAACUAAGUUUAAUAAGAAAUUUCGCACGUUGCUUUUUUUUUUCAUUAGUUCAUUAUAUAAUUUUUGCUUAUCAAAAUUGUCAAAGAGAAAAAUGAUAUAAACAGAGAAUUACUAAAAAUAUUUUCUUAAAAUGAUAUUCGUCGAAGGACGAUUUAAUCUUAUGUUAUUUUUCUUUUUUUCUUUUACACUUCGAAUAUUAUUAUAUCGUCGUAUUUGUCAUUUAUCAGAAUGAAAAAAAGAGAAAAGAAAAAAACGGAAAACAAAGAAAAAAGAAAAAGAAGAGAAAAGAUAUAAAAAUUGGGAACGUCGCCGGCCAUUUUGGUUUCCACGAGUAUAAGUAUCCAUAUCCUGUCUUAAAACGGUACUCGUGGAUGGACAUUUAAUCGUAUACGUUACCGUUACAUCAUGAGGGUAACGUUACGUUAUGAAACAGUGAAAAAAAAAAAGAAAGAAGAAAAAAACAAGAAAAAGAUAGACAUCAAGGGAAGUCAAUGUCAAGGGACAUGUUUUGUUAAUGAAA